GGGUGCGGGACCUGCUGUUUCCACGCACGGGGCUGGCUCCGGGAUCUCAGCUCAGAGAAGCCUCUGACCGCCUUGCAGGCCACGCCCCGUUAGGGAACCUGUCACGGUCACUGCCAUUCCCCAGGCCUCCUUGAGCGCCCACCGCGGGCCGGGCCUGUCCUGGGCUCCCAGCUCUGCCCUCACGGAGCUGACCGUUUUGUACAAAGCACAGCAACCAUUUACACAGCGCUCACUUCGUGCAGGCCCGUGGGUCCUCACAACCUCCAAAAAGGCGGCCCCGGGGUCGGGGAGACCUUCGGGAACAAGGGACCCUCUCGGACCUGAAGCUCGCUCGCAAGGCGCUGAGUGCAGAGUGAGGCCGGGUGCGGGCUGCGCCUUCUGAGAGGGAGGCAGUCCGCACAGUUCCGAGCAGAGGCGCGUAGGCCUCUGAAGGGUCCCUCGGGCUGCCGUGUGGAGUGUGGACUGCAGGAGGCUGGGGUGCUGAAUCACUUAGGAUGCAUUCAGAGGCGAACAACCCGCUUCCCAGCUAGCAGCAGCUUGCACGAUGCCAUUGUGAUCUCACUGAAUACGAAGCCACCAUCUCUCCUCCCUCCAAAAUCCCCACAUACACUUUCUGCCUUCCUGCCUGUUGCCUCAUGCCCCAGGGUGGCUGUCAUAGCACAGGGCAUCACACCGCUACACCAGCAUCUCAAACGGGAAGGAAGUGGCAGGUGUACAAAGGAUGACCACUUUGUGAAUCAGUUCCAGUUCCUGCGUCCUCCCCUUGUUCCUGCCAGCGGGGGAUGGCAUCACGCAGGCAUGGUGAAUCCUGGCCCUUGGGACUUCCCUGCGCCUUGCACAGAUCGCACAGAUUGUGGUAGAUGGUCCCUUGCAAGUGUCAUCCUGCCUGAUGCAUCACCACCGAGGAAGCGACCGAAGUCAGAGACAGAGGAUGCUGCCACUCCCCAAGAAUGAAGCCGGUAGGGGAUAUUAUUGGACUUCGUAUGUGAUGGCAAUGACUCAACAGAAAGAAAAAUUGCUGAUGCAAGAAAAAGAGUGUCUUGCCUCGUCCAGGCAAGAGGGCAUCAGACUUGGGACAGCUCACUCGAGGCAGGGAAAGAAAAGCGGGUCGCACGAUUGCAGGCACAGGCACUAGGGCUCUGUGGAAGACACAGAGGAUCCCAGCAUCCAAGCACGGUGCAGCCCCUCCCGGACUUCCGCAUCUCAGAGGUCAUCACUGUCCA
rnacentral:lncRNA from 10 species